rnacentral:rRNA from 1 species
AGAGUUUGAUCAUGGCUCAGGACGAACGCUGGCGGCGUGCCUAAAACAUGCAAGUCGAACGAGUCAGCAAUGGCUAGUGGCGAACGGCGGAGUAAUACAUAAGCAACGUGCCCUAAAGACUGGGAUAGUCAGUGGAAACGCUGGGUAAUACCGGAUGUGGCCCUCGAUAGGAUCUAUUGAGGAUUAAAUGGUUUUUCGCUUUUGGAGCGGCUUAUGGCCUAUCAGCUAGUUGGUGAGGUAACGGCUCACCAGGGCGACGACGGGUAACGGGUCUGAGAGGAUGAUCCGUCCGAGUGGGACUGAGACACGGCCCACACACCUACGGGUGGCAGCAGUUGGGAAUCUUGCACAAUGGGGGCAACCCUGAUGCAGCGACGCCGCGUGGAGGAUGAAGGAUCUAGGUCUGUAAACUCCUUUUAUCGGGAAAGACUUAGGACGGUACCCGAGA